AUCUUACUGACGAGUGCCAAAUAGCAUGAAACCUAGGUCCAGGGU
rfam:Schistosoma mattheei strain Denwood, Zambia genome assembly, scaffold: SMTD_scaffold0003708